AUAUUUCUGGCAAGUGGGGGCAUCGUGAACACAAAGGUGGUUUCCGGGGUGAGCCUCAUUCGCUGCAGCACAGAUGUGCAGACCCCAGCAAUUCCCCAAAUGCAAAAAACACAACUACAGAAUCUGUGAUGGUGAGGACUAUGUUCUUGCUCGCUCCUAA
ensembl:snRNA U1 U1 spliceosomal RNA